rnacentral:tRNA from 2 species
GGAGGACUCGCCUAGUGGCCGAUGGCGCCGGUCUUGAAAACCGGUAUGGGGCAACCCAUCGUGGGUUCGAAUCCCACGUCCUCCGCCU